GACAGCAGUAGCCGCGGGAAUACGUAGGUCCCGAGCGUUGUCCGGAUUUAUUGGGCGUAAAGCGAGCGCAGGCGGUUAGAUAAGUCUGAAGUUAAAGGCUGUGGCUUAACCAUAGUACGCUUUGGAAACUGUUUAACUUGAGUGCAGAAGGGGAGAGUGGAAUUCCAUGCGUAGCGGUGAAAUGCGUAGAUAUAUGGAGGAACACCGGUGGCGAAAGCGGCUCUCUGGUCUGUAACUGACGCUGAGGCUCGAAAGCGUGGGGAGCAAACAGGAUUAGAUACCCCAGUAGUCCCUGUCUCUUAUACC
rnacentral:rRNA from 1 species